CGUCAGUGGUCAAUUGCUCUGGUAUCGUGUAAGAAGUAUCAGCAGUUGUACCACUGAUUUG
rnacentral:pre_miRNA from 1 species